AUUGAACGCUGGCGGCAGGCCUAACACAUGCAAGUCGAACGAGUGGCGGACGGGUGAGUAAUGUCUGGGAAACUGCCUGAUGGAGGGGGAUACCUACUGGAAACGGUAGCUAAUACCGCAUACCAUGAGAUGUGCCCAGAUGGGAUUAGCUUGGUGGUUGGGUACCGGCUCACCAAGGCGACGUUCCCUAGCUGGGCUGAGAGGAUGACCAGCCACACUGGAAAUGAGACACGGUCCAGACGCCUACGCGAGGCAGCAGUGGGGAAUAUUGCACAAUGGGCGCAAUCCUGAUGCAGCCAUGCCGCGUGUAGGAAGAAGGCCUUCGGGUUGUAAAGUACUUUCAGCGGGGAGGCGUUACCCGCAGAAGAAGCACCGGCUAACUCCGUGCCAGCAGCCGCGGUAAUUC
rnacentral:rRNA from 1 species